UACAGAGGGUGCGAGCGUUAAUCGGAAUUACUGGGCGUAAAGCGUGCGCAGGCGGUUUUGUAAGUCUGACGUGAAAUCCCCGGGCUUAACCUGGGAAUUGCGUUGGAGACUGCAAGGCUGGAGUCUGGCAGAGGGGGGUAGAAUUCCACGUGUAGCAGUGAAAUGCGUAGAGAUGUGGAGGAACACCGAUGGCGAAGGCAGCCCCCUGGGUCAAGACUGACGCUCAUGCACGAAAGCGUGGGGAGCAAACAGG
rnacentral:rRNA from 1 species